GAUCCCGGGGCCGCGGCGCUCCCGCCGCGGUGCCCCGACGGGCGGGCUGCCCGCAGAGGAUGCGGCCGCGAGCGGGGUGCUGGCGGCUCGCCCCGACAGCAGCCCGCUGGUGCUGGUCGUGGUGAUGGUGGUCGCCCUGUCUGCUUUGCUUUUUUUUUUUUUUUUUUUUUUUUUUUUUAAGAGGGAGAUUAAGGAAAGUUUUGUGUCUUUCCUGUUGCUGUGUACAGGCGGUGAGGGCUAUUGACUCUGGGGGCAGAGUACACGCUGGAGCGGAGUUGGCUUUUGUGAUGUACCAGCACAUAAGUAGGGAAAGAGAGAGGGAGAGAGAGAAAGCAAAAGGAAAAAUAUUUAUAAAGUGUGUGGGUUUUGUUUUGCCUUUUUUUUUUUUAAAGUUAUGGUAACACUAGAGGUAACUUAUGCUGGAAACGAGCAGAAUUGCUUUUAUGUAUGGUCAGUCUCAAAGCUCAAAUACAGAACGACUUUAUUAUUUUUGUCAAGGAAACCCCCAGUUUUUUGCCCAUGUGUUCCUCAAAGGCAGUAGAGGGAAAUUCGGGUUUUGACAUUUCUUCAUAAAGUUAAUCAAAGCAUGGAGUUAUUGGCUGUUCAGCCCCUGGAAUGCUUGGUUUGUGAUUCCUGCGUUUCCAGUGUAUGAGAGCACCGUCUACUGAUAGCCCAGCAUUUUCUGUCCAGCACUGCGACAGUGAGCAGCUAAGAGUACUACCGUUUUAAUAAGUCAGGGGGGAAAAAAAAAAUAAUUUGGUUUUGUGGCUUGUUUACUCAGCGCGUGCAAAAGCACGUUGCAGGCAGGCAGGGUUUGACCCUCAAGAAAGAGUCUUAUAAGGCCUACCAGGAGCCAGAACUGCACGUAAAGCACAUUUGAAGUGAUUUCCAGAACUGCUUUUUUUUUUUUUUUUUUCUUCUCUUUUUCCUGUUCAUCUGUCAGCGUCUGUUGGAUGCCAAAAUGUCACGUACUUGCAGCUGUACAGAAAUGCAGGUGCUGCUUGACGCCGACGCUGUUUGCAGAAGGAAAUCCCGGCAAGGUUCAGUUGCUGCUGAGGGCCGAUACUAGCGGCAUCUGACGCUGAGUUUUUGUAUGGAUGGCUGAAGGUAAUGAAUACAACUCUUCAGGAAUUAAUGUCAGCUUUUCACAUUAGACUUCUUCAGAUUGCUAGUUACACCGAGACUUUAAAUGAACAGAAGAUACUUCUGUGUUAGAAGGCUUUCAUCAUAAUUUAGGAUAUUUUUACACAGCUAAGUUAAUUGUUGAAGGCAGUAAACCCGUUUAACAAUAUUCUGCUCUGCCAGUGAGUGAGAAAAUUGUUAUUUUAAACAAAGGGAAAAAGAUACCUUGGUCUUAUUGCCUUAUGUAUUAUUGUAUAUGAAAUAUUAAUACGGUUUCCAGCGAGAUGUGCUGAACACCAUAAUCCGUAAACAUAGCCAGGAUUAUUCUCCUCAAACAAUGAUUUUAAGAGCUAUAAAUUAAAGUUACAACUAUCACUUU